AUGUGCUUAUUAUGUGUGAGUGAGCAGAUGGAUGGUGUCUGUCUGUCUGUCUGUGCUGUCUGUCUGUCUGCGCUGUCUGUCUGCGCUGUCUGUCUGUCUGCGCUGUGUGUCUGUCUGUGUGUCUGCGCUGUCUGUGUGUCUGCGCUGUCUGCGCUGUCUGUCUGUCUGUGUGUCUGCGCUGUGUGUCUGCGCUGUCUGUCUGUGCUGUCUGUCUGUCUGUCUGUCUGUGCUACCAGUGUCCUGUAUAAUAGUUUGACCAUGGUGGAUGGUAAAAUCACCAUGGAGAAGACAUCUCCAGCAUCUUCCCUGUUGUUAUGAUCUGCUGAACAGGGAUAGGCCUCUAUGGGACACAUUUUUUCCAGACAUAUCUGUCCUUUUGCGUCAACAUGAAUGGACUCUAUUCAGGAAAAUAAAGCCUUUUUUUUCUUCAAAUCAUUCACUUCAACAUGAAGUCACAUGAACAUACUUUUCUGAGGCAUUUGGGGGAAAGAGAUGACACACAACGGAGUUAAUCAGCAGAUAUUGAUUUUGUUGUACACCUAACAUGUACUGUCAUCCUUCAUAAUAUACUCCCAUCUGUCACUGGGUGAUUGAUUGGUCCUGUAUGGUUUGUUUACUUUCCGUAAGUUAUCGCGUCUUAACUCGCUCCUGACUUUGAUUGGCUGAAAUGAUAUCCCGCUGGAUAUCUAAACCAAUCGGAAGCCUGAGACAGUUGAAACGCUCCAGAUGGGAAAAAACCCAAAGGUUUCCACGUUACCACAGCCACAAAGUCAAAAUUGGAUAUACUGUAAAGAUGUAUGAAAACAAAAAAAUGAUAUCAAAAUGCUAUUUAAGGUUAUGCAUAAGAUUAGCAGUUUGGUUAAGAUUUAAAAUACAAUUUUAAGAAGAGAAAUUGUAGAAAAAGUCGCGAUUUAGGACUUUAUGGCUGUGGUAACUAGUGACGACCAAAAAAAACGCGAGUUCUCGGUCUCCUCGGAGAUCUCGCGUGAUGUCCGUGACGUGGCUGUCUCGUACUGUAUCAAAACACAGACAGGCAGAGCUCGGGGUCUUAUCAUCACUUCUCCGUUUUCUAACUAAAAAACGACCAUUUCUAUUGGACAGAUUCCGGUAGGUCCCCUCC
rnacentral:lncRNA from 8 species